AUGCUACCUCCUCUUCUUCGCGACUACGUUUGCUCACGAAUCAACACUUCAUCCGAUUUGACUUCGCGUGUUUGCUUCUUCUUCAAUCUACCUACAUCGCGACCUCAUUCUUUGGAGCUUCGUCACUUCGCUUCAGAUGGCACAGUUCUCUCAUCAACAUCCUCGUAUCAGCUUCAAUUCCGCUUCCUCGCUCUCAGUAUCAUGCUCCGUGGAUUCGUCUCAACCUCUCAACUCAGAUUAUGCAGUGAUGAAAAUAUUCGACAUAAUCAAUUUGAGCAAGACAGUAAAAUUAUCUAA